CAGAAGAAACCCGCCGCACCAAACCCUACCCAGAUCACUCACCUCUCCUCCCUUCCUCCCGCAGCCUCCCUCUCUCUCUCCCCGAUCCAGAUCGACGCCACCACCCCUCUCUAACACUACCUUCCCGUCGCCGGCGGCGGCGCCCUCCUUCCCUCGCCCUCUCCUCCUCCCCUCCUCCCCUCCUCAUGGGCGUCUCCACCAUGCCACGAAUCCCCGCGACCCACCCCAUCUUCGUGCCUGCCUCGGCAACCACCUCCGCCGCACGUCAGAGUCCCAUCCGUGUCCGCGCCGGCUCCGUCUCCAUCUCCUUUCAUGGGAGGUGACCCGCACCCGGCCCCGCGGCGGGGGAGGGGCGGCGGCGGCCUCUUGUAGAUCCCAUCGGGAUCCCGUCCGGAUCACGGCCAGCACAUUUGGGACGCCGAUACGAAGCUCGUCCGCCUCAACAGCACCAGCAGCGGCGGUGACGCUGACCGGCCCAAGGAGGAGCAGGGCAGCGGCAGGAAGGGCGCGCCCAAGUACCGGGUGGUGCUGGUCUGCAUGGUCGCCGCCGGCGUGCAGUUUGGCUGGGUGAUGCAGCUCUCCCUCCUCACCCCAUACAUCCAGAUCUCAAAGAAGCAGUAUCACUACGAUGGAUGCGGCAUCUGCAGAACUGGUGGCAUGGACAACUUCUUCCACUGUGAACUGGUGGCAUUGAUACUCUACUUAUCAAUGGAUCGAUAUAUUAGGACGGCUGCCUUUGCUCUGAUCGACAGGUCCAUGACAUCUCGCUGAACCACUACUGGAUGUGGCGUCGACGAAGCACUACACCUGGCUUGCUCGCCGGCGCGCGCGUGCGUGCUUCAAUGCACGGCGCUUCGUCGAGCUGGCCGGACCGCGGCAAUCGCCGGAGCCGGAGCCGGAGGAGGCGACAAGAUGCUGCUGCUGCGGCUGCGUCCUCGGAGGCAGCAGCUGCCCCUCGCCGACCUCACCAACCUCCGGCGUCCGCCAUGAGCUCCGCGCAGGACCCCUUCUACAUCGUCCGGGAGGAGAUCCAGGGCUGGGUAAUCCCCCCAUCCCCAUCUGCCCUCCCUCCCUCCCCUGUGCCCCUUUCUCUUCCUCUAGUUGCGAAUUUUGGUAUGCUGCCGCUGUUUAUUUGGCUGCGCCGUGGCGUACUGUCAGCUGAAAACUGCUUCUUUAUUUUCUACUCCAGUAUUGUAUGGAGUAGUAUAUAAGGACGUCUUACUGUAGUAUGGCUGAGGCAGUGACCAGCUUGGUAGUUAGUACUAGCUGAGAAAAUUCAUGAUGCUGGCUGGGAGCAAAAAAUUUAUAGGCUUAGUUGCUGUAUUGGUUCUGUUGUUGUAUGGGGAUAUAUGCAUAGAUAUGUAACGUGUGGGUUCCAAGCAUGCUUCCGAGAUUUUUUUUUAAAUUUUGUUGGCUCUUGCAACACUUGGAUUAUUCAUUAAUAUAACCCACCAGCGAUGCUUCCAUUUUAACACAUGUACUAGUGUGCUAAAACUACUACUGCACCUGCUUCUUCUUAGCCUGAGUAGUACAUCAGGCUUGUAUUAACUUGUGUUAAUUGUAUUAACUUGUAGCCUAGUCACUGCAGUCACCUUGUGCUUUUAUCUUCUCUGUGAUGUCAUUUGCCUUCGAGUCUACUUAUUGAAGACCUUAUGCUCGUAUAUCUUUUUAGUCCCUCUAUUUCCAUAAAUGUGACACUGUUUUGUUUCUAAAUACUUGACAUAUACAAGUUUGAGGGCAUUAUCCUAAACCCUUGCUAUGAUUGAUCCAUCUCCUCUACUUUGUUACUUGUGCUUAAUUGAGAUGUUGCUCAAGGGUAGUGUUUGGCCAGCAUAUAUAAAUGAUAUGGCCGCUUACUUCAAUAUGUGUGUUGACUCAAAACUAUCAAAAUAUCUAGAAAGAGAGUGAACUCACUUCAUAGAUUCUUUAAAUCUUCAAUGGUUAUGGUUUUUGCAUUACAGAUUCUUAAUCUCGGCUGAUUCCAGAUUCUUAAUCUCGGCUGAUUCCAGAUUCUUCCAAGUGCUAGCUAGCUCCAAAAGCAAAUUGUCUUCAUUUGGAAGAUGCAACAUUCUAUCAGAAUCCAUUCUCCUACUCUUUUUCUUGUACUGUAUGUCAUCCAUUGUUCAACCCUAUUGGUAAGUUCUUGUAGUGUGUCGCUCUGUUCAGAAGUGCAUUUUUAUUUUAGGAUUUGCUUCCUGUGUGGUACUGGAUGGCUGAGUAUUAAAACAAUUUGGUUACUAUCGGAAGCACUUUAAUUCUCUGGAAUUAAACUUGGACAAGCAUGCAUAUAUGUGUUCAAUUUUUCUGGAUUACGUGAUGGCAUUCUAUGAUUCUGUUUAACAACUUAAGUAUAUGUAUGAAUGUGCUCGAGUCCAUGAUUUAUUGUUCUGUUUAACAACUUAAGUAUAUGUAUGGAUGUGCUACAUUUAGAUCGACCUAUCAUAGAAAUCUGCUUAAUUUGAACUGGAAGUAGAUGGUACUAACAGUCAGUUUGUCUUCUAGUCCAUGUCUUUGAUGUACACCUGCUCUGCUGUUGUUAUUUAUUAAUAUACAGAUACAGCCGUAUGUAUAGUCACUAACACACUUGGACUUGCCAAAACAUUCAUGCAGGCUUCUGGUGGACGUGGUGGUGAUCCUCCUGUUAGGAGAUAGAGGAUGUGAGCUAAGCCGCUGUCUGGUCGAGGAAGAAAGUCGUUGUCUUUACUGGCGAAACAAAUUGCUGCGGCAGCCAUGCUUGUGAGCUUAUGAUGUGUCUCUAGUUUAGUUUGUUAGUUUGUGUGAACCGUUCUCUAUGAUGUAUGAUGUAUUGCUGCUGUUAGCGGUAAAUGUGAUGUAUGAUGAGUUGACUUGAUGGUUUGUUUGAGGUUGUCAUUGGCAUGGAUUAUCUCUUGUGAAGCUUACUGUUACUAAUACAUACACUUGCUGCUA